GACGAACGCUGGCGGCGUGCCUAAUACAUGCAAGUUGAGCGAUGAAGAUUGGUGCUUGCACCAAUUUGAAGAGCAGCGAACGGGUGAGUAACGCGUGGGGAAUCUGCCUUUGAGCGGGGGACAACAUUUGGAGACGAAUGCUAAUACCGCAUAACAACUUUAAACAUAAGUUUUAAGUUUGAAAGAUGCAAUUGCAUCACUCAAAGAUGAUCCCGCGUUGUAUUAGCUAGUUGGUGAGGUAAAGGCUCACCAAGGCGAUGAUACAUAGCCGACCUGAGAGGGUGAUCGGCCACAUUGGGACUGAGACACGGCCCAAACUCCUACGGGAGGCAGCAGUAGGGAAUCUUCGGCAAUGGACGAAAGUCUGACCGAGCAACGCCGCGUGAGUGAAGAAGGUUUUCGGAUCGUAAAAUUCUGUUGGUAGAGAAGAACGUUGGUGAGAGUGGAAAGCUCAUCAAGUGACGGUAACUACCCAGAAAGGGACGGCUAACUACGU
rnacentral:rRNA from 1 species